rnacentral:snRNA from 1 species
CUCACGCCCGGUCGUACUC